CCUACGGGGGGCAGCAGUGAGGAAUAUUGGUCAAUGGGCGGAAGCCUGAACCAGCCAAGUAGCGUGCAGGAUGACGGCCCUACGGGUUGUACACUGCUUUUAUACGGGAAUAACGCGCCUUACGUGUAGGGCCUUGCAGGUAACGUAUGAAUAAGGAACGGCUAAUUCCGUGCCAGCAGCCGCGGUAAUACGGAAGGUCCGGGCGUUGUCCGGAUUUAUGGGGUUUAAAGGGAGAGUAGGCCGCAUGGCAAGCGUGCUGUGAAAUGUCCGGGCUCAACCCGGGCCUUGCAGCGCGAACUGGCGUGCUUGAGUCCGCGGAAAGCAGGCGGAAUUCGUCGUGUAGCGGUGAAAUGCUUAGAUAUGACGAAGAACCCCGAUUGCGAAGGCAGCUUGCUGCAGCGGAACUGACGCUGAUGCUCGAAAGCGCGGGUAUCGAACAGGAUUAGAUACCCCAGUAGUC
rnacentral:rRNA from 1 species